CGGGACACGUGGUAUCCUGUCUGAAUAUGGGGGGACCAUCCUCCAAGGCUAAAUACUCCUGACUGACCGAUAGUGAACCAGUACCGUGAGGGAAAGGCGAAAAGAACCCCGGCGAGGGGAGUGAAAAAGAACCUGAAACCGUGUACGUACAAGCAGUGGGAGCACGCUUAGGCGUGUGACUGCGUACCUUUUGUAUAAUGGGUCAGCGACUUAUAUUCUGUAGCAAGGUUAACCGAAUAGGGGAGCCGAAGGGAAACCGAGUCUUAACUGGGCGUUAAGUUGCAGGGUAUAGACCCGAAACCCGGUGAUCUAGCCAUGGGCAGGUUGAAGGUUGGGUAACACUAACUGGAGGACCGAACCGACUAAUGUUGAAAAAUUAGCGGAUGACUUGUGGCUGGGGGUGAAAGGCCAAUCAAACCGGGAGAUAGCUGGUUCUCCCCGAAAGCUAUUUAGGUAGCGCCUCGUGAAUUCAUCUCCGGGGGUAGAGCACUGUUUCGGCAAGGGGGUCAUCCCGACUUACCAACCCGAUGCAAACUGCGAAUACCGGAGAAUGUUAUCACGGGAGACACACGGCGGGUGCUAACGUCCGUCGUGAAGAGGGAAACAACCCAGACCGCCAGCUAAGGUCCCAAAGUCAUGGUUAAGUGGGAAACGAUGUGGGAAGGCCCAGACAGCCAGGAUGUUGGCUUAGAAGCAGCCAUCAUUUAAAGAAAGCGUAAUAGCUCACUGGUCGAGUCGGCCUGCGCGGAAGAUGUAACGGGGCUAAACCAUGCACCGAAGCUGCGGCAGCGACGCUUAUGCGUUGUUGGGUAGGGGAGCGUUCUGUAAGCCUG
rnacentral:rRNA from 1 species